UAGCUGUACGCUGCAAAGGUAUUUUGAUGCAUCCUGUGAUGUUUAUUGCAAAAAUAUGUGUGAAGUGACAUAAAUUGGUUGAAAGGAUUCAACAAUAACAGAUUAGGCAUAGUUUUCGGGCAAAAGUGUAGCCAUGUGUCAUGUUGAUUAGUAUAUUGACCUUGUUGACGUUCUAUCGAAAUGGUACAUGCCUACUGACACCGUUGUGAUCUAUCUCAGAAGUUUAAAUUCUACGGUAAUCCACCAGAGUCCAAGAGUAAACUCCCAGAGAGGGGUGGCAGUCCGAUUUUGUCAGCUUACUCGACUUGGAGAGGGAAGAUAAUUUACAUUUGGACAGUUACAUUUGACCAGAAUGUAUGCGAUGGACUGCAUCAUGGUUUUGAAGGAAAAGGUUACACUAUUUAUUACAGACAGCAAGAAAACAUCAUUGAACACCACCAACUAAUAAGACUCCAAAGGAAUAAUGGAAAAUAAGAUAUUUAAAGCUGUCAAAAAGCAGAGAUUAGAGUUCAGUGGAUU